CACGUAGGGGGCAAGCGUUGUCCGGAUUUAUUGGGCGUAAAGAGCUCGUAGGUGGUUCGGUAAGUCGGGUGUUAAACCCCCAGGCUCAACCUGGGGACGCCACUCGAUACUGCUGUGACUAGAGUCCGGUAGGGGAGCGUGGAAUUCCUGGUGUAGCGGUGAAAUGCGCAGAUAUCAGGAGGAACACCAGCGGCGAAGGCGGCGCUCUGGGCCGGUACUGACACUGAUGAGCGAAAGCGUGGGUAGCAAACAGG
rnacentral:rRNA from 1 species